AUUGAACGCUGGCGGCAUGCUUUACACAUGCAAGUCGAACGGCAGCGCGGGCUUCGGCCUGGCGGCGAGUGGCGAACGGGUGAGUAAUGCAUCGGAACGUGCCCAGUAGUGGGGGAUAGCCCGGCGAAAGCCGGAUUAAUACCGUAUACGACCUGAGGGUGAAAGCGGGGGACCGAAAGGCCUCGCGCUAUUGGAGCGGCCGAUGUCGGAUUAGCUAGUUGGUGGGGUAAAGGCUUACCAAGGCGACGAUCCGUAGCUGGUCUGAGAGGACGACCAGCCACACUGGGACUGAGACACGGCCCAGACUCCUACGGGAGGCAGCAGUGGGGAAUUUUGGACAAUGGGGGCAACCCUGAUCCAGCCAUGCCGCGUGCGGGAAGAAGGCCUUCGGGUUGUAAACCGCUUUUGUUCGGGAAGAAAUCCUCUGGGCUAAUACCCCGGGGGGAUGACGGUACCGGAAGAAUAAGCACCGGCUAACUACGUG
rnacentral:rRNA from 1 species